AACGAACGCUGGCGGCAUGCCUAACACAUGCAAGUCGAACGAGACCUUCGGGUCUAGUGGCGCACGGGUGCGUAACGCGUGGGAACCUGCCCUUAGGUUCGGAAUAACUCCCCGAAAGGGGUGCUAAUACCGGAUAAUGUCUUCGGACCAAAGAUUUAUCGCCUUUGGAUGGGCCCGCGUUGGAUUAGCUAGUUGGUAGGGUAAAGGCCUACCAAGGCGACGAUCCAUAGCUGGUCUGAGAGGAUGAUCAGCCACACUGGGACUGAGACACGGCCCAGACUCCUACGGGAGGCAGCAGUGGGGAAUAUUGGACAGUGGGCGAAAGCCUGAUCCAGCAAUGCCGCGUGAGUGAUGAAGGCCUUAGGGUUGUAAAGCUCUUUUACCCGGGAUGAUAAUGACAGUACCGGGAGAAUAAGCUCCGGCUAACUCCGUG
rnacentral:rRNA from 1 species